rnacentral:rRNA from 1 species
GCCUAACCGUAAUAUACAAUUAAACCACCAAUUGUCCGCCAAACAACUACGAGUUACACUUAAAACUUAAAAGACUUGACGGUGCUUCACCACGCCCUAGAGGAGCCUGUCUAGUAACCGAUAAUCCACGAUUAACCCAGCCCCCUCUGGCCUAACAGUCUAUAUACCGCCGUCGCCAGCUUACCUUGUAAAAGAAAUAAAGUGAGCUAAAUAGCACCACACUUAAACGACAGGUCGAGGUGUAACUAAUGAGAGGGACUAAGAUGGGCUACAUUCUCUUACCCGAGAAUACGAACAAUACUAUGAAAUUAGUGUUUAAAGGCGGAUUUAGCAGUAAGAUAAGAAUAAAACACUUAACUGAACAUAACGCAAUGAAGUGCGCACACACCGCCCGUCACCCCUGUCACCACAACACAUCUUUAAUAAACCGACCAAAAAAACACAACCAGGGCAAGUCGUAACAUGGUAAGUGUACUGGAAAGUGCACUU